CAAGAUUCUAUUAUGCAUUUUUCAAGGGCUUUUCCUUGAAGAUUACAUGUCUUGGCAGGAGCUUUCUCCAUUUGCCAGGCCUCACAGACUAAUGGCCUGGGAUUUCGGCUGCAAUGAGAUGUAGAGCUCUUGGAAGUGGCAGCAAGAGUCCCUAUAGUAGGAACACGAGUGAGGCUUCAUACCCUGGCGAUGUAUCACAUUGGAUGACAUUUCACUGUGAUGGUGCUCCCAGGAGUCAUUCAUUCAUCACCACGGUCUGUGACAUGCAUUCACUUUGCUACAUUUCUGUUACCGCAGCCUUUCCUUGUUGUACAAGACAUUAGGUUUUCUGAGAAGCAGCUCCUGGCUUGCUUGUUUGCCCAAAUUCUUCACAUGAUAUAUCACACUGCAAACAGGGCAUCUGAGGGUACAGUCAGGCUGAGCAGGGAUGGGGGCUCCUGCUCCUCCAAGCUCUUGAGCCUGCCUCAGACCCGAGCAUGGAUUUGUGACCAGGCAGCAUGACACUAGCCAAGCUAGGCAGGAAUUCCAGUUCCACUGCACUGUGUAGACACAUCAGUUUAGAUGUGAGAGUACUGGCAUUUAUAUGACCUGUA